rnacentral:tRNA from 1 species
GGAUGUGGCUCAGUGGUUAAGUGCUUCUGGGUUCAAUACCCAGUAUAAAUAAUAAUAUUAAUAAUAAUGAUGAUAGUAUAAAGACAAAUAAAAAGUGGGCAGUAAAAUUCUAACUAAAUAAACAUUUAUUACAUACCAACUACAUGACCCUGGGUUUGAUCCCCAGUACCA